AGAGUUUGAUCAUGGCUCAGAACGUACGCUGGCGGCACGCCUAACACAUGCAAGUCGAACGAAGUAGCAAUACUUAGUGGCAGACGGGUGAGUAACAUGUAGGUAUCUGCCCUUUGGCCUGGAAUAACACGAGGAAACUUGUGCUAAUACCGGAUAAGUCUUUACGGAGAAAGCUUUAUGCACCAUUGGAUGAGCCUGCACUUGAUUAGUUUGUUGGUGGGGUAAUGGCCUACCAAGACUGUGAUCAAUAGCUGAUUUGAGAGGAUGAUCAGCCACAUUGGGACUGAGACACGGCCCAAACUCCUACGGGAGGCAGCAGUGGGGAAUCUUGCACAAUGGAGGAAACUCUGAUGCAGCGAUGCCGCGUGAGUGAAGAAGGCCCUUGGGUUGUAAAGCUCUUUCGUCGGGGAAGAAAAUGACUGUACCCGAAUAAGAAGGUCCGGCUAACUUCGUGCCAGCAGCCGCGGUAAUACGAAGGGACCUAGCGUAGUUCGGAAUUACUGGGCUUAAAGAGUUCGUAGGUGGUUGAAAAAGUUAGUGGUGAAAUCCCAGAGCUUAACUCUGGAACUGCCAUUAAAACUUUUCAGCUAGAGUAUGAUAGAGGAAAGCAGAAUUUCUAGUGUAGAGGUGAAAUUCGUAGAUAUUAGAAAGAAUACCAAUUGCGAAGGCAGCUUUCUGGAUCAUUACUGACACUGAGGAACGAAAGCAUGGGUAGCGAAGAGGAUUAGAUACCCUCGUAGUCCAUGCCGUAAACGAUGUGUGUUAGACGUUGGAAAUUUAUUUUCAGUGUCGCAGGGAAACCGAUAAACACACCGCCUGGGGAGUACGACCGCAAGGUUAAAACUCAAAUGAAUUGACGGGGACCCGCACAAGUAGUGGAGCAUGUGGUUUAAUUCGAAGAUACGCGCAGAACCUUACCAACACUUGACAUGUUCGUCGCGACUCUAAGAGAUUAGAGUUUUCGGUUCGGCCGGACGAAACACAGGUGCUGCAUGGCUGUCGUCAGCUCGUGUCGUGAGAUGUUGGGUUAAGUCCCGCAACGAGCGCAACCCUCACUUUUAGUUGCCAUCAUUAAGUUGGGCACUCUGAAAGAACUGCCAGUGAUAAGCUGGAGGAAGGUGGGGAUGACGUCAAGUCCUCAUGGCCCUUACGUGUUGGGCUACACACGUGCUACAAUGGUAUCUACAACAGGAAGCAAAACUGCGAGGUUAAGCAAAUCCCUAAAAGAUACCUCAGUUCGGAUUGCACUCUGCAACUCGAGUGCAUGAAGCUGGAAUUACUAGUAAUCGUGGAUCAGCGUGCCACGGUGAAUGCGUUCCCGGGUCUUGUACACACCGCCCGUCACACCAUGGGAGUUGGUUCUACCUUAAGGCAAGGUUUCAAACCCUUGACCACGGUAUAGUCAGCGACUGGGGUGAAGUCGUAACAAGGUA
rnacentral:rRNA from 1 species